AUAAUGGGUCAGCGACUUAUAUUCUGUAGCAAGGUUAACCGAAUAGGGGAGCCGAAGGGAAACCGAGUCUUAACUGGGCGUUAAGUUGCAGGGUAUAGACCCGAAACCCGGUGAUCUAGCCAUGGGCAGGUUGAAGGUUGGGUAACACUAACUGGAGGACCGAACCGACUAAUGUUGAAAAAUUAGCGGAUGACUUGUGGCUGGGGGUGAAAGGCCAAUCAAACCGGGAGAUAGCUGGUUCUCCCCGAAAGCUAUUUAGGUAGCGCCUCGUGAAUUCAUCUCCGGGGGUAGAGCACUGUUUCGGCAAGGGGGUCAUCCCGACUUACCAACCCGAUGCAAACUGCGAAUACCGGAGAAUGUUAUCACGGGAGACACACGGCGGGUGCUAACGUCCGUCGUGAAGAGGGAAACAACCCAGACCGCCAGCUAAGGUCCCAAAGUCAUGGUUAAGUGGGAAACGAUGUGGGAAGGCCCAGACAGCCAGGAUGUUGGCUUAGAAGCAGCCAUCAUUUAAAGAAAGCGUAAUAGCUCACUGGUCGAGUCGGCCUGCGCGGAAGAUGUAACGGGGCUAAACCAUGCACCGAAGCUGCGGCAGCG
rnacentral:rRNA from 1 species